rnacentral:rRNA from 1 species
GGGUGCGAUCAUACUAACACUAAUGCACCGGAUCCCAUCAGAACUCCGCAGUUAAGCGUGCUUGGGCGAGAGUAGUAUUAGGAUAGGUGACCUCCUAGGAAGUCCUCGUGUUGCACCCC